UGUGCUAGCAAUCAGCGAGACUCCAUGGGCGUAGGACCCUCCUAGCCAGGUGCGGGAUAUAAUCUUGUGGUGCACCGUUUUUUAAGCCCGUCGGAAAAGCGCAGUAUUCGGGUGGGAGUGACCUGAUUCUCCAGGUGCCGUCUGUCACCCCUUUCUUUGAUUAGUAAAGGGAACUCCCUGACCCCUUGCGCUUCCCGAGUGAGGCAAUGCCUCGCCCUGCUUCGGCUCGCGCAUGGUGCGCGCACCCACUGACCUGUGCCCACUGUCUGGCGCUCCCUAGUGAGAUGAACCCGGUACCUCAGAUGGAAAUGCAGAAAUCACCCGUCUUCUGUGUUGCUCAGGCUGGGAGAUGUAUACCGGAGCUGUUCCUAUUCGGCCAUCUUGGCUCCUCCCCCGAGGUUUGCUCGUUAAAUUUAUUUAUUCAGCAAAUAUUCAUUGAGCUCCUACUGCAUAUCAGGGACUGGUGAAGAAAUAGCUAAGUUGCUAGGAAUUACUCUUUCCCUUGAGUUGGCUAGGAGGUCCUAUUUGGCUGCCUUUGCCCAUCUCAUUUGGCAACUCUUGAGCGUGCAUCAUUCAGAAGAUAUAAGAAGCUUAGAAGGUAGAAAAGUGGAUUUCUUUGAUUUUUCAGACGACAUUGCUGAAAAACAUAUUACCACAGACAAUUUGAAGGACAUUGACUGGGUGAGGAAGCGAUGAACCUUCUGUCCUGAUUUGAUUUUCA
rnacentral:lncRNA from 10 species